GGGCGAGUGGCGAAGUGGCAACGCAGCGGUCUGCAAAACCGCCAUUCACCGGUUCAAAUCCGGUCUCGCCCUCCA
rnacentral:tRNA from 1 species